rfam:Bombyx mori DNA, contig: Bm_scaf9_contig8084, strain: p50T/Dazao, build 2, whole genome shotgun sequence.
UUAACACAAAUUUGUUUAACGUUGGAACGUUUGCCUACGCUUGCCGCUAGGGGCGCUGUUCCAACUGCAUACAAAUUUGAGUUA